CUUUGAGUAAUGCACUGUAGGCUGCUUAAGUGAUGAAUUGGCUGUUUUCAUGAUUCCCCGGCUUGUGAAAACAUAAGAUGAGUGUCAUGUCACACUUACAUUAACAUCACACGUUGUUGUGUGUGUUGCAGGAGGCUCUGCUUGAAGACCUUGCAACCAGGGAUCAUCCUCCCGUCUCUGCGCUGCAGCCGUCACGGACAUCUCAAGGGUCCAAAAGCUGUUUUUAUUAACAUGGUUUUGUUUUUGCAUUCCUGUCUGCUCUUAGCAAUCUGCAAGCCAUAGGACCAAUGCACACACACACACACACACAAACACACACAGCAGAGAUAAUUCAUGCGUCCGACCACAAAGUAUAAACACAGUGGUUUGGUAUCUCUCUCCGCAACGUGUCUUGUCUAGGUACUGAAAGAUAAGCUUGUUUUUUCAAGAAUGUCAAUGCACGAGUCUACUUCACUUGUUUUGAUUCUGUGUCAAAUCUCCGCUGUCGUUUUAUCUUUGUUUUACGAUUCAAAUAUGUUUACAGCUGCUUUGUUUGGCAGGUGACGGAGACAGAAGAAGAGGAAGGUUGUUAGCCGUAAAGACCUUCUCAGAAAGAGGAAAGACGCUGCAGGUAGCUGCGGUCGCCUUAACCAGAGACACUCAGCCUGACGCUAAAAUAAACAGAUGACACAUUGUGG